UUGAGAGUCCCUGCUUAAGCUUGAAUAAACGACCCUCAUGUGCUUACAUCGGAAAUGGCCUCCUGGUGGUCUUUGGGACCUUGCAAUCUGGGCACAACACCAGCCACAGUAAGAUACUACUUUACUCCAACUAGAAGAGCUAUUGCCAAGAAGACAAUAGUAAAUGCUGAUCAAGAUAUAGAGAAAAGGGCAGCCUUCUAUGCUGUUGUUAGAAAUGUAAACUAGUACAACCACUGAGGAGAACAGAUUGAGGUUCCUCAAAAAAUUAAAAGUAGAGUUACCUUAUGACCCAGCGAUCCCACUACUGAGUAUAUAUCUGUGGAGAACACUUUGAAAUAAGAUGGAAUUGUAUAACCCUAAGUGUGCUGUAACCCUAAGUGUGCUGUAACCCUAAAGUGUGCUGUGACUUUAAGAGCGCUGUAACCUAAGUAUGACAUAAUCAUAAGAGUGAUGAAAGUAGAAUCUUAAGUGGUAUGGAACUGAUAAGGGUGUGCCCUGAACUGGACAAGGAGUACCCCCGAACUGGACAGGGUGCGCCCUGAAAUGGACAGUGUGAUAAGUCUGAACCAAUACCACAAGCGCCCAGUUAGAAUAGUAUAAAAGGAGCUGAAGACCCCAAGCAAGUCGACGAUCCAUCCACCGACCAGUCGACCAGUCAAUCUGCUGAUCUGAUUACCAACCGAGACAUCUGCACACCUGAUCCCACUGGAAGGAGCGUCUCCGCCGACCAGACGGGACCAGAGGAUGAGGCAAGCAGAGAGACGGAUAGCCUAACUCCGACUCGACGCCCUUCUUCUACGGAUCGGACCCUCUGACCCUACGGGAGGAAACGUCGCGCUCCCAUAAGGACUUGCGCAGUACAGGUACAGGGACGUGGUAAUUGGCAGACUUAAUAUUGUGUGGUAAUUGUAUUGAAGUGAAUUAUGAUAAGUGUGUGAACUGCCGUCCGUGUCCGAGUCCUCUUUACCCACGGUACCUGCUCACGACAAUAGCCAAAGGGAAUGAAAUCAGUAUGUAGAAAAGGCAUUUUCCCUCCAUGUUUAUUGUACCACCAUUUGCAAGAGCCACAAAGUGGAAACAACUGCAGAGUCCAACAGAUAAUGCAUAAGAAAAAGUGGUAUCACGAUGGUAUGUGAUUCAGCUAUAAAGCAUUAAAUUCUGCCAUUUAUGACAACGUGGAUGGAGUGGGAGAUCAUUUUGCUAAGCCAAGCACAGGUAGAAAAGUACUAUGUGAUCUUAUUCAUAUGUGGAAGCUAAAAAUGCUGACCUCACAGGAACAUAGGGAAAUGGCUAGAGGCAGCCAAGAGUGGAGGAGGGAGGAGUGGCAAAGGCUGGCCCACAAGAACUGAGGGACAGUUGUACAAAAGUAAGAGCUCUGCUAUGCCACUGCACAGAAGAGUUACUAUGGGAGACAUUCAUCUGCUGAACACUUUGCUUUCCAAGUGAUGGGUGCAGUUACUGUUCCUCCUGUUGCCUCCUGCAGAGGCACAGUCUUCUAUCAAAGUCCCUAUUUCCUGGACAGGAUUCCAGAUGCUGCAGCCUGUUUGACUCCCAGGAUAUAAUCCAGGAAAGAAUGGUGGGAGACUUGAUGAAUAUGAACAAGAAGGGUGAACCCUAGAAGGAAAGUCCUCAACAGGUGAGAAGGACAAUGACUGGUGCACACGCAGAGAGCACAGCCUGAGAAAGGGCUCUCAACAACAGAGACAAAGGCACAAAACAUUUCUUCUCCCAGCACUGAAGAGUUCUGCAGGAGACUGGCCACAUCUGUAAUGAGGGCAUCCCGGACGGCUUGGAGCUGAGCCAGGCUCUCCAGCCAUAGGAGGGGAGGCCAGAAGGCCAAGAUGCAGAAGGUGCAGCACUGAUGAGCUGACUCCAGCAGGUACUGAAGGCUUGGGCUGUGCAAGGUACUCUAAGUCAUGAGAACAAGUGCUCAGCAAGCAAGGCCUUACUUAAUCAAGAAAACCCUUAGUUUUCCAAAAUUUCCCUUUAAAGGAAUGCUGCAACACUUUCUCCUUCCCAUUCCUGUCUUCCUUCAUCUAUAGACGCUUUUUUCUCCUUUAAAACCAAACUGCCCCCUCAUCACAUAGGUGCUUUCACUCAGAGAUUCAGGUUUGUAAACUGUUUUUACAGCAUCUUGGAUGUCACCUAGCUUGAGUGGAGCCCAAGGCUGUGUUAAGCCUCAUGCUGGUCCCCUGAGCCUGGACAGCACGCAGGGCCUCCAUCCCUAAGUCUAUGGUGUGAGGACCUUGCAGAAGCUCUUUGCUGUUGGUUUCUGUUAAUCCUUUUCCCCAAACUUUUAAAGUUACAAAGUGCUCACAAAUCACUUAAAACAUAUAGAAAAGUCUAGUAAAUUUGUGAAGUGUUCAUUGAGUCUAGAAUCAAUGUAAUGCCAGACCAAAUAAAACAUACAUUCUGUUGAGGAAAACAUCUUGUUUUCUAUUCUAACUUCAGUAUUUGCAGAAAUUUUACUAAACUUCAAUAAGUUUUGUUGCAAUUUUAGUUUUCUUUUCCUAUCAAAGUGCACAUAGUGUCUAAACUAUGGGUAGAUCAUGAGCCCUGUCAGUAGGUCACCACUAACUAUUCUAGUGCCUCUAAGAUCUGACUUCUAAACUAAAGGUCUACAUUCUUCAUAUUAUUUUGUAAAGAACAUAGUAUGUGUAAAACAUAUUAAUAAAGUAUUAAUAAAGUGCUAUAGAAA